rnacentral:tRNA from 1 species
GCUUUCGUGGUGUAAUGGUAGCACACUCGGCGCGUAUUCGAGAGGUCCAGGUUCGAGUCCCGGCGACGGCA